rnacentral:sRNA from 1 species
UCAGAUCUUGGUUCAAAAGAUGCGAUCGUAGACUUAAGUUUUCUUCUUUGUUACUUGAUUUGAGAAACUUGAGAUUGCUUCUACUGUUUUUCAUAAAAGAGAUACAUCAUAUUUAUUAUCAAAUAUCAAUUAUACGAAUACGAGAUUGAAAAGGAAGGAGGUGGUUAAGGUUUCGUUUUGUUUGGUUUUUCUUGUAUCUCUGUUUUGGUUCAUAACCUUUUGGGUGGGUUUUUCUUCUGUGUCUCUACUUUGCUCUGUUUCCUGGGCAUGGCUCUGUUUCUUUCAAUAUAUGACGUUAAAAAAAAAAAGGAAAGAGGUGGAAGACGAUGCUUCAUCUGACUUAAUUGAAAUUUUUAUUGAUUUUAUCAUUAGCUAAGAUUGGAUCCGUUGGGUUCCAUAUGCAGUAUCCAUUAGGGUUUAGUUUCAUUGAAUCUGUAGAUGGAUAUAGGCAGUGACAUAGUUAUGGUGAACAGAGUUUUGUGUUCUUCAACAAUGGCUUCCAUCAACACUCUCGUCUUCUUCUCACUUCGAAAUCAUUGCCAGAUCAAUCUUCAUUGUUAAUGAAAUCGUCUCCUUCUCGAUUCAUGUAUCCAGACGAGACGAGAGCAUUAUUGUUCUUCUCCGUUCGCUUUUAUUGACGAGGCUCGAUAUUGGGUUCUAUAUAUUGGAUUCAUCUCUAAAAUUGGAAGAUCAAUCUAUAGGGUUUAGAUAUUCUAUUUAUGAAAACAUGUUAAUUGGAUCUAUUGGAAGAAAAAGUUUUAAUGUGUUUUAUGAAGUUUCUGGAAAAAAAAAAAAGUAGAUCUCGAUGAAGAAGAAGAAGUGUGAUGAGUGAAAAAAAAAGGAAGGGUAAAAACGUCAAAUUUGAGCAUCUAAAGUACUAUUUUUCAAAACAAAUUCAGAAUGACCUAAAAUCAAAGUUUUUAACAAAGAAGUGCUUGUUUUGACAAUAACCCCUAAAAAUAAUGACAUAUUUUUUGACAAUGUGCUUUUUGUAGGUACAUAAAAAUUUCAAGUUAAAAAGCC